rnacentral:rRNA from 1 species
GACGAACGCUGGCGGCGUGCUUAACACAUGCAAGUCGAACGGUGAAGCACCUUCCUUUUGGUGGGUGUGGAUGAGUGGCGAACGGGUGAGUAACACGUGAGUAACCUGCCCCCUUCUUCUGGAUAACCGCAUGAAAGUGUGGCUAAUACGGGAUAUUCUGGGUCUGUCGCAUGGCGGGCCUGGGAAAGAUAUUGUUUCGGGGGGGGAUGGGCUCGCGGUCUAUCAGCUUGUUGGUGGGGUGAUGGCCUACCAAGGCGGUGACGGGUAGCCGGCCUGAGAGGGUGGACGGUCACACUGGGACUGAGACACGGCCCAGACUCCUACGGGAGGCAGCAGUGGGGAAUAUUGCACAAUGGGCGCAAGCCUGAUGCAGCGACGCCGCGUGAGGGAUGGAGGCCUUCGGGUUGUAAACCUCUUUCGCCAGUGAAGCAGGCCUGUCCCUUUUGUGGGUGGGUUGACGGUAGCUGGAUAAGAAGCGCCGGCUAACUACGUG